rnacentral:rRNA from 1 species
UAGGGAAUCUUCCACAAUGGACGCAAGUCUGAUGGAGCAACGCCGCGUGAGUGAAGAAGGUUUUCGGAUCGUAAAGCUCUGUUGUUGGUGAAGAAGGAUAGAGGCAGUAACUGGUCUUUAUUUGACGGUAAUCAACCAGAAAGUCACGGCUAACUACGUGCCAGCAGCCGCGGUAAUACGUAGGUGGCAAGCGUUGUCCGGAUUUAUUGGGCGUAAAGCGAGCGCAGGCGGAAUGAUAAGUCUGAUGUGAAAGCCCACGGCUCAACCGUGGAACUGCAUCGGAAACUGUCAUUCUUGAGUGCAGAAGAGGAGAGUGGAACUCCAUGUGUAGCGGUGGAAUGCGUAGAUAUAUGGAAGAACACCAGUGGCGAAGGCGGCUCUCUGGUCUGCAACUGACGCUGAGGCUCGAAAGCAUGGGUAGCGAACAGGAUUAGAUACCCUGGUAGUCCGUGCCGUAAACGAUGAGCGCUAGGUGUUGGGGACUUUCCGGUUCUCAGUGCCGCAGC